UUAAGCGACUAAGCGUACACGGUGGAUGCCCUGGCAGUCAGAGGCGAUGAAGGACGUGCUAAUCUGCGAUAAGCGUCGGUGAGGUGAUAUGAACCGUUAUAACCGGCGAUUUCCGAAUGGGGAAACCCAGUGUGUUUCGACACACUAUCAUUAACUGAAUCCAUAGGUUAAUGAGGCGAACCGGGGGAACUGAAACAUCUAAGUACCCCGAGGAAAAGAAAUCAACCGAGAUUCCCCCAGUAGCGGCGAGCGAACGGGGAGCAGCCCAGAGCCUGAAUCAGUGUGUGUGUUAGUGGAAGCGUCUGGAAAGGCGCGCGAUACAGGGUGACAGCCCCGUACACAAAAAUGCACAUACUGUGAGCUCGAUGAGUAGGGCGGGACACGUGGUAUCCUGUCUGAAUAUGGGGGGACCAUCCUCCAAGGCUAAAUACUCCUGACUGACCGAUAGUGAACCAGUACCGUGAGGGAAAGGCGAAAAGAACCCCGGCGAGGGGAGUGAAAAAGAACCUGAAACCGUGUACGUACAAGCAGUGGGAGCCUCUUUUAUGGGGUGACUGCGUACCUUUUGUAUAAUGGGUCAGCGACUUAUAUUCUGUAGCAAGGUUAACCGAAUAGGGGAGCCGAAGGGAAACCGAGUCUUAACUGGGCGUUAAGUUGCAGGGUAUAGACCCGAAACCCGGUGAUCUAGCCAUGGGCAGGUUGAAGGUUGGGUAACACUAACUGGAGGACCGAACCGACUAAUGUUGAAAAAUUAGCGGAUGACUUGUGGCUGGGGGUGAAAGGCCAAUCAAACCGGGAGAUAGCUGGUUCUCCCCGAAAGCUAUUUAGGUAGCGCCUCGUGAAUUCAUCUCCGGGGGUAGAGCACUGUUUCGGCAAGGGGGUCAUCCCGACUUACCAACCCGAUGCAAACUGCGAAUACCGGAGAAUGUUAUCACGGGAGACACACGGCGGGUGCUAACGUCCGUCGUGAAGAGGGAAACAACCCAGACCGCCAGCUAAGGUCCCAAAGUCAUGGUUAAGUGGGAAACGAUGUGGGAAGGCCCAGACAGCCAGGAUGUUGGCUUAGAAGCAGCCAUCAUUUAAAGAAAGCGUAAUAGCUCACUGGUCGAGUCGGCCUGCGCGGAAGAUGUAACGGGGCUAAACCAUGCACCGAAGCUGCGGCAGCGACACUGUGUGUUGUUGGGUAGGGGAGCGUUCUGUAAGCCUGUGAAGGUGUGCUGUGAGGCAUGCUGGAGGUAUCAGAAGUGCGAAUGCUGACAUAAGUAACGAUAAAGCGGGUGAAAAGCCCGCUCGCCGGAAGACCAAGGGUUCCUGUCCAACGUUAAUCGGGGCAGGGUGAGUCGACCCCUAAGGCGAGGCCGAAAGGCGUAGUCGAUGGGAAACAGGUUAAUAUUCCUGUACUUGGUGUUACUGCGAAGGGGGGACGGAGAAGGCUAUGUUGGCCGGGCGACGGUUGUCCCGGUUUAAGCGUGUAGGCUGAUUUUCCAGGCAAAUCCGGAAAACUAAGGCUGAGGCGUGAUGACGAGGCACUACGGUGCUGAAGCAACAAAUGCCCUGCUUCCAGGAAAAGCCUCUAAGCAUCAGGUAACAUCAAAUCGUACCCCAAACCGACACAGGUGGUCAGGUAGAGAAUACCAAGGCGCUUGAGAGAACUCGGGUGAAGGAACUAGGCAAAAUGGUGCCGUAACUUCGGGAGAAGGCACGCUGAUAUGUAGGUGAAGUCCCUCGCGGAUGGAGCUGAAAUCAGUCGAAGAUACCAGCUGGCUGCAACUGUUUAUUAAAAACACAGCACUGUGCAAACACGAAAGUGGACGUAUACGGUGUGACGCCUGCCCGGUGCCGGAAGGUUAAUUGAUGGGGUUAGCGGUAACGCGAAGCUCUUGAUCGAAGCCCCGGUAAACGGCGGCCGUAACUAUAACGGUCCUAAGGUAGCGAAAUUCCUUGUCGGGUAAGUUCCGACCUGCACGAAUGGCGUAAUGAUGGCCAGGCUGUCUCCACCCGAGACUCAGUGAAAUUGAACUCGCUGUGAAGAUGCAGUGUACCCGCGGCAAGACGGAAAGACCCCGUGAACCUUUACUAUAGCUUGACACUGAACAUUGAGCCUUGAUGUGUAGGAUAGGUGGGAGGCUUUGAAGUGUGGACGCCAGUCUGCAUGGAGCCGGCCUUGAAAUACCACCCUUUAAUGUUUGAUGUUCUAACGUUGGCCCCUGACCGGGGUUGCGGACAGUGUCUGGUGGGUAGUUUGACUGGGGCGGUCUCCUCCUAAAGAGUAACGGAGGAGCACGAAGGUUGGCUAAUCCUGGUCGGACAUCAGGAGGUUAGUGCAAUGGCAUAAGCCAGCUUGACUGCGAGCGUGACGGCGCGAGCAGGUGCGAAAGCAGGUCAUAGUGAUCCGGUGGUUCUGAAUGGAAGGGCCAUCGCUCAACGGAUAAAAGGUACUCCGGGGAUAACAGGCUGAUACCGCCCAAGAGUUCAUAUCGACGGCGGUGUUUGGCACCUCGAUGUCGGCUCAUCACAUCCUGGGGCUGAAGUAGGUCCCAAGGGUAUGGCUGUUCGCCAUUUAAAGUGGUACGCGAGCUGGGUUUAGAACGUCGUGAGACAGUUCGGUCCCUAUCUGCCGUGGGCGCUGGAGAACUGAGGGGGGCUGCUCCUAGUACGAGAGGACCGGAGUGGACGCAUCACUGGUGUUCGGGUUGUCAUGCCAAUGGCACUGCCCGGUAGCUAAAUGCGGAAGAGAUAAGUGCUGAAAGCAUCUAAGCACGAAACUUGCCCCGAGAUGAGUUCUCCCUGACUCCUUGAGGGUCCUGAAGGAACGUUGAAGACGACGACGUUGAUAGGCCGGGUGUGUAAGCGCAGCGAUGCGUUGAGCUAACCGGUACUAAUGAACCGUGAGGCUUAACCU
rnacentral:rRNA from 1 species